CGAACGCUGGCGGCAGGCCUAACACAUGCAAGUCGAACGCGAACGGUCCUUCGGGACUUAUUAGAGUGGCGGACGGGUGAGUAACACGUGGGAAUAUGCCUUUCGGUAGGGAACAACGCCUGGAAACGGGUGCUAAUACCCUAUACGCCCCCUGGGGGAAAGAUUUAUCGCCGAAAGAUUAGCCCGCGCUGGAUUAGCUAGAUGGUGAGGUAAGAGCUCACCAUGGCGACGAUCCAUAGCUGGUUUGAGAGGAUGAUCAGCCACACUGGGACUGAGACACGGUCCAGACUUCUACGGAAGGCAGCAGUUGGGAAUUUUCCGCAAUGGGCGAAAGCCUGACGGAGCAAUACCGCGUGAGGGAAGAAUGCCUGUGGGUUGUAAACCUCUUUUCUUAAGGAAGAAGUUCUGACGGUACUUAAGGAAUAAGCAUCGGCUAACUCCGUGCCAGCAGCCGCGGUAAU
rnacentral:rRNA from 1 species